UAUAUAGUCAGCAGUACGUUCAGUAUGCCUACAACAUCGAUAUCGACCACAUCAAAAUUUAAGAUUUAGUGUUGUAAUUUGAAAUCUGUUAUACGAAGUAUGCACCGAAUACUUCAGUGGAUUUAGAGGAUUCGUUUUCUAUGUAUGAAAAUAUUCUUUCAGACAACAAUAGUCAGUUUUACUAUUCCUAAUCUAGGGAAAUACAUGACAACAUCAAUGACAAUAUAAAAAGGAAAAAUAUGAUAGAAGAAGAAAAAAUUGAAAUUAGGAACGUCAUGGUGAUUUGUGAAAAUUCCUCGCAUCGGUGGCGGAAGCAAGUCAAAAAACGUCGUCUUCCCACUCUUGCCCGGGAGCGACGUAAUCACUGUCGUCGUCAUAGUCGUCGUCGAGGACAU